CAGCAGCCGCGGUAAUACGGAGGGUGCGAGCGUUAAUCGGAAUUACUGGGCGUAAAGCGCGCGUAGGCGGUUAGUUAAGUCAGCUGUGAAAGCCCUGGGCUCAACCUGGGAACUGUAGUUGAUACUGGCCAACUAGAGUGCAAGAGAGGGAGGUAGAAUUCCACGUGUAGCGGUGAAAUGCGUAGAUAUGUGGAGGAAUACCAGUGGCGAAGGCGGCCUCCUGGCUUGACACUGACGCUGAGGCGCGAAAGCGUGGGGAGCAAACGGGAUUAGAUACCCCGGUAGUCCACGCCGUAAACGAUGUCUACUAGCCGUUGGGAAACUUGAUUUCUUGGUGGCGCAGCUAACGCACUAAGUAAACCGCCUGGGGAGUACGGCCGCAAGGUUAAAACUCAAAUGAAUUGACGGGGGCCCGCACAAGCGGUGGAGCAUGUGGUUUAAUUCGAUGCAACGCGAAGAACCUUACCAGGUCUUGACAUCUUGCGAAUUUUCUAGAGAUAGAUUAGUGCCUUCGGGAACGCAGUGACAGGUGCUGCAUGGCUGUCGUCAGCUCGUGUCGUGAGAUGUUGGGUUAAGUCCCGUAACGAGCGCAACCCUUGUCCUUAGUUGCCAGCACGUAAUGGUGGGAACUCUAGGGAGACUGCCGGUGACAAACCGGAGGAAGGUGGGGACGAGCUCAAGUCAUCAUGGCCCUUACGACCUGGGCUACACACGUGCUACAAUGGAACGCACAGAGGGCAGCAAACCCGCGAGGGGGAGCGAAUCCCACAAAACGUUUCGUAGUCCGGAUUGGAGUCUGCAACUCGACUCCAUGAAGUCGGAAUCGCUAGUAAUCGUGAAUCAGAAUGUCACGGUGAAUACGUUCCCGGGCCUUGUACACACCGCCCGUCACACCAUGGGAGUGGGUUGCUCCAGAAGUGGUUAGCCUAACCUUCGGGAGGGCGAUCACCACGGAGUGAUUCAUGACUGGGGUGAAGUCGUAACAAGGUAACCGUA
rnacentral:rRNA from 1 species